rnacentral:rRNA from 1 species
GACGAACGCUGGCGGCGUGCCUAAUACAUGCAAGUCGAACGAACCGCGACUAGGUGCUUGCACUUGGUCAAGGUGAGUGGCGAACGGGUGAGUAACACGUGGGUAACCUACCUCAUAGUGGGGGAUAACAGUCGGAAACGACUGCUAAUACCGCAUAGGACAUAGGAUCACAUGAUCCAGUGAGGAAAGGUGGCGCAAGCUAUCGCUAAGAGAUGGACCCGCGGUGCAUUAGCUAGUUGGUAGGGGAAAGGCCUACCAAGGCGAUGAUGCAUAGCCGACCUGAGAGGGUGAUCGGCCACAUUGGGACUGAGACACGGCCCAAACUCCUACGGGAGGCAGCAGUAGGGAAUCUUCCGCAAUGGACGCAAGUCUGACGGAGCAACGCCGCGUGAGUGAAGAAGGUCUUCGGAUCGUAAAGCUCUGUUGUUAGAGAAGAACAGCGCAUAGAGUAACUGUUAUGCGUGUGACGGUAUCUAACCAGAAAGCCACGGCUAACUACGUG